rnacentral:rRNA from 1 species
UACGAAGGGUGCAAGCGUUACUCGGAAUUACUGGGCGUAAAGCGUGCGUAGGCGGUUUGUUAAGUCCGCUGUGAAAGCCCUGGGCUCAACCUGGGAAUUGCAGUGGAUACUGGCAAGCUAGAGUGCGGGUAGAGGAUGGUGGAAUUCCCGGUGUAGUGGUGAAAUGCGUAGAGAUCCGGAGGAACACCAGUGGCGAAGGCGACACGCUGGGCCGUACCUGACACUGAUGCGCGACAGCAUGGGGAGCAAACAGG